GCUUAUGCCAGCACCCUGGAUCCUAAGAAUGAAGGAGAAUGGCGUCUGGUGAAAGUAGCAGCCAGCAAUAAAGAUAAAGUUGCAGAAGGUGGUGAACUGAGAGUGUUUUAAAAUAAAAUCCUCUGUGAGAAUGACGGGUGUCAGAAAGUGGGCUUUUCCUUCAAUGCAAAACACAAUGGAGAAUGUCAAUCCUUCUCUUUAGUGGGAGAGAAAGCUGAACAUCAUGACUACUACAC